GAUCGCUCAGCCGGUAGAGCAGUCCCGACACUUUAGUGUCUGGAAUGGUCGUGGGUUCGAACCCCACCCGGGUCA
rnacentral:tRNA from 1 species